AAAGCUAUAGAGAGAGAGAGAGAGAGAGAGAGAGAGAGAGAGUGUAAAAUUUCGGGAUUGAGAACAAUUUGGCAUCAUCUUUAUUGCCAGCCCGUAAGAUCGAUCUUUGAUAUUGGCAAGACAUAUGGCUAAUACCUUUUAAUUGAAGAGAGAAUGUAGGUGAACUUUUUUUCUUUCCUCAGCUGCUUGAGGUUGCGGUGCUCUUAGAAGAUGGCCGCUGUACUGCUCUUAGAGAAUGCAGGUCUACGUGGCUGCAAUCUGCUUCUAUAGAAGUGGAUUUGCCAACCCUACCAAUUAGAGUAGCUAGUUACUUCCAUGAAUCACAGAUUGAAAUAUUGCUGGGGAAGUCGGAGAAAUUUGACCAGUUGAUGGCUGCUGCUGGAGAGGAAGCGUUAGAUUAUGAGGAGUAGAACUGAAGGAAAAUGCUACCUGCAAUUUAGAUUGGUAUUUAGUGCUCAUGUUUGAUAACACAACUAUUUCACUACUAUUCACAUAUAUUUUAAGAUAUAGUGUCAAGUUCUUUUUAUCAUGGAGAAUCUAUGGUAGUAAACUGUUAGAUUGGCUUUGUUUAGUGAAGUUAAUAAGCUAUCAUCGCAUUUCUUGAAUGGAUUUUUGUAAGCUACACACUCAUUAUUCAGUAGUAUUCAAAUUUGUUUCUAAAUGAAUUGUUGUCACCGCA